GGAGGUUGUGCCCUUGAGGCCCUUUUUACGGAGCUAACGCGUUAAAUCGACCGCCUGGGGAGUACGGCCGCAAGGUUAAAACUCAAAUGAAUUGACGGGGGCCCGCACAAGCGGUGGAGCAUGUGGUUUAAUUCGAUGCAACGCGAAGAACCUUACCUACUCUUGACAUCCAGAGAACUUUCCAGAGAUGGAUUGGUGCCUUCGGGAACUCUGAGACAGGUGCUGCAUGGCUGUCGUCAGCUCGUGUUGUGAAAUGUUGGGUUAAGUCCCGCAACGAGCGCAACCCUUAUCCUUUGUUGCCAGCGGUUCGGCCGGGAACUCAAAGGAGACUGCCAGUGAUAAACUGGAGGAAGGUGGGGAUGACGUCAAGUCAUCAUGGCCCUUACGAGUAGGGCUACACACGUGCUACAAUGGCAUAUACAAAGAGAAGCGACCUCGCGAGAGCAAGCGGACCUCAUAAAGUAUGUCGUAGUCCGGAUUGGAGUCUGCAACUCGACUCCAUGAAGUCGGAAUCGCUAGUAAUCGUAGAUCAGAAUGCUACGGUGAAUACGUUCCCGGGCCUUGUACACACCGCCCGUCACACCAUGGGAGUGGGUUGCAAAAGAAGUAGGUAGCUUAACCUUCGGGAGGGCGCUUACCACUUUGUGAUUCAUGACUGGGGUGAAGUCGUAACAAGGUA
rnacentral:rRNA from 1 species